CGCGUAGGCGGGCGUUUAAGUCAGAGGUCAAAUCCCGGGGCUCAACCUCGGAACUGCCUUUGAUACUGGGCGCCUAGAGUACGGGAGAGGUGUGUGGAACUCCGAGUGUAGAGGUGAAAUUCGUAGAUAUUCGGAAGAACACCAGUGGCGAAGGCGACACACUGGCCCGUUACUGACGCUGUAGCGCGAAAGCGUGGGGAGCAAACAGGAUUAGAUACCCUGGUAGUCCACGCCGUAAACGAUGAGUGCUAGUUGUCGGCAUGCAUGCAUGUCGGUGACGCAGCUAACGCAUUAAGCACUCCGCCUGGGGAGUACGGUCGCAAGAUUAAA
rnacentral:rRNA from 1 species